CCUAACGAAUGGGGUGUAAUAUCUCGUUUAACAACUCAACCCACUAACUAGAUGGUGAUAUGUGUCCGAUAAAAUUAAUAGCCCAUUAAAUCGAUUAAAUUGAUUAUAGCUUAAAGUGAUCUUAGCAUUUCCAAAAAGAAAUCUUGUAACCAACUAGAUCAGCAAAUAAGGAAAGCAUCAGAUCUUAGCAUGCUUGAAAAGGAAUUUUUUAACUAUCAUGAUCAACAAAUAAGA
rnacentral:lncRNA from 1 species